GUGGGGAAUAUGGGACAAUGGGCGAAAGCCUGAUCCAGCCAUGCCGCGUGUGUGAAGAAGGUCUUCGGAUUGUAAAGCACUUUAAGUUGGGAGGAAGGGUAGUAACCUAAUACGUUGCUACUUUGACGUUACCGACAGAAUAAGCACCGGCUAACUUCGUGCCAGCAGCCGCGGUAAUACGAAGGGUGCAAGCGUUAAUCGGAAUUACUGGGCGUAAAGCGCGCGGAGGUGGUUUUGUAAGUUGGAGGUGAAGUCGCCGGGCUCAACCUGGGAACUGCAUCCAAAACUGCAUGACUAGAGUACGGUAGAGGGUAGUGGAAUUUCCUGUGUAGCGGUGAAAUGCGUAGAUAUAGGAAGGAACACCAGUGGCGAAGGCGACUACCUGGACUGAUACUGACACUGAGGUGCGAAAGCGUGGGGAGCAAACAGGAUUAGAAACCCCGGUAGUCC
rnacentral:rRNA from 1 species